GUAAACAGAGCAAGCUGACACUUUUGGUUACACUAAUGCCUAUGGACAAUGGGCUGUUGUGACUGUGAAUUGUGUGGGCCUGGGUUCUGAUCUCACCUGAGCCUCUUGCCAGUUUGGGGUCGGAUUUCUGUUGGUAAGUGGAAAUAUUAUAUGUCACAGUCAGGUUGCGCUCAUCAUAACACAGGUUGUGUGAGGUAUGCUGGCAUAGACACAGAGCAGUGGUGCUCUUGUUCCAGUUGCCUGCUAAAGUAGGGUCUGGUCCUUCCGACCUGGGUGACAUAGAUGUCCCCAGAAGGCCUGCUGACAAAAUGGACUGAUGAAGCCUGAGAAACCAUUGUUCCUUUUCUGAGGUUGGCAUUGGCAAAGUGAAGGGCUGUGUACAGGCUGACAUGGGAUGCCCUUGGGCCUGCAGGCAGGCUUCGUCUGGCAGACAGGCGUGAGGACACUCCCUGCUUUCAGCCAUUGUAUUUCCCAAUCGAAUUCCAGUGAGGGAGAGGGUUUAACUGACUUAAACCAGCCCUUUGCAAACAAGACUUCCCCACAUCUGUCCUCUUUAAGAAAGAGGAAAGUUUGGUCUUACCGUCCUGGGUCUUUACCUUUCUCUCCUUAUCUGCUGCUGUUCCUCAGCGCCUCCUCAUAUAGCUGCCGUCUGCAUCUUCAAGUCCUUUUCUGUUCAAUGGCUUGGUGGCACUUUAUGUGGCAUGGAGUAUGUUCAGGCGACCACAGCAUCACCCCAGUUCCAGCUCCCAGACAGAAAAGGUUCCAGAAAAUGACUUCCAAGCCCAGAUCAUGGGAGCCUGAGCAAAUCCUGCCACCAUUGGGUGGUCCUCUUGUGAGCAGCAGGGAAGCCUUUUUUCUGACCCCAGUGCUCAGUUAGGAAAACUCCGCAAAGGUUGUGAAAACUUUUUGAUUUUCUCAUCUCUCCCCCAUAUCUCUAAGUGAAGGAGUACUGCUUUGCUGUCUGUCCCCACCUGUGUCUUCAGGCUCCAUUCAGCCAUGAAAACCAGGCAGGAAUGA